UACAGAGGGUGCAAGCGUUGUUCGGAAUUAUUGGGCGUAAAGCGCGUGUAGGCGGCUUUGCGAGUCGGGUGUGAAAUCCCUCAGCUUAACUGAGGAAGUGCGCCCGAAACUGCCGAGCUUGAGUACCGGAGAGGGUGGCGGAAUUCCCCAAGUAGAGGUGAAAUUCGUAGAUAUGGGGAGGAACACCGGUGGCGAAGGCGGCCACCUGGACGGAUACUGACGCUGAGACGCGAAAGCGUGGGGAGCAAACAGG
rnacentral:rRNA from 1 species